UACUCUGUUUCGAUCCCACGCUUAGACUGGCCGUGUGACCGUGCAUGGGACCAUGACCAAUUUUAGCAUUGGUCCCAUUCUUGUAUAUUUUGGUCCUGGUCCCAUAUAUUGUUUUUCAAACCAGUCACUUUACACUGUUUGUAUUAUAGCUCUGGUCUCAUUUCACUGUUUAUGAGAAAUAUUUAGAUUCUGAAUACUGUUCUUACCUUGAUUUCUGAGUCACAGUCCUGUUUGGUCCCAUUUUACAAAAUGGGACCAAACAGAACCAUGACUUACUCAUAAUUACAUAAUACAUAUACCUUUAUACUGGAUGGUAGCUAAUUAUGAUGUGAGCAUUAUCAAAUAUUGUUAUCUUUUUGAUGUCACAACAGAAAUAUCAUUAUAUGUCUGUAGACAUUUUGAAAAUUAAAAAACAAAAACAAAAACAAC
rnacentral:sRNA from 1 species